GAUGAACGCUGACAGAAUGCUUAACACAUGCAAGUCAACUUGAAUUUGGGUUUUUUAACUUAGAUUUGGGUGGCGGACGGGUGGGUAACGCGUAAAGAACUUGCCUCACAGCUAGGGACAACAUUUGGAAACGAAUGCUAAUACCUGAUAUUAUGAUUAUAAGGCAUCUUAGAAUUAUGAAAGCUAUAUGCGCUGUGAGAGAGCUUUGCGUUCCAUUAGCUAGUUGGAGAGGUAACGGCUCACCAAGGCGAUGAUGGGUAGCCGGCCUGAGAGGGUGAACGGCCACAAGGGGACUGAGACACGGCCCUUACUCCUACGGGAGGCAGCAGUGGGGAAUAUUGGACAAUGGACCAAGAGUCUGAUCCAGCAAUUCUGUGUGCACGAUGACGUUUUUCGGAAUGUAAAGUGCUUUCAGUUGGGAAGAAAAAAAUGACGGUACCAACAGAAGAAGUGACGGCUAAAUACGUG
rnacentral:rRNA from 1 species